AGUGAACGCUGGCGGUAGGCCUAACACAUGCAAGUCGAACGGCAGCACAGUAAGAGCUUGCUCUUACAGGUGGCGAGUGGCGGACGGGUGAGGAAUACAUCGGAAUCUACUUUUUCGUGGGGGAUAACGUAGGGAAACUUACGCUAAUACCGCAUACGACCUACGGGUUAAAGCAGGGGAUCUUCGGACCUUGCGCGAUUGAAUUAGCCGAUGUCGGAUUAGCUAGUUGGCGGGGUAAAGGCCCACCAAGGCGACGAUCCGUAGCUGGUCUGAGAGGAUGAUCAGCCACACUGGAACUGAGACACGGUCCAGACUCCUACGGGAGGCAGCAGUGGGGAAUAUUGGACAAUGGGCGCAAGCCUGAUCCAGCCAUACCGCGUGGGUGAAGAAGGCCUUCGGGUUGUAAAGCCCUUUUGUUGGGAAAGAAAAGCAGCAGGUUAAUACCCCGCUGUUCCGACGGUACCCAAAGAAUAAGCACCGGCUAACUUCGUG
rnacentral:rRNA from 1 species